GCCUGUGUGGUGUAGUGGCAUGAGUGUUGGACUACAACUCUGGAGACCAGGGUUCAAUUCCCUGCUUGAGCA